CGCUGGCGGCGUGCUUAACACAUGCAAGUCGAACGGAAAGGCCCUGCUUUUGUGGGGUGCUCGAGUGGCGAACGGGUGAGUAACACGUGAGUAACCUGCCCUUGACUUUGGGAUAACUUCAGGAAACUGGGGCUAAUACCGGAUAGGAGCUCCUGCUGCAUGGUGGGGGUUGGAAAGUUUCGGCGGUUGGGGAUGGACUCGCGGCUUAUCAGCUUGUUGGUGGGGUAGUGGCUUACCAAGGCUUUGACGGGUAGCCGGCCUGAGAGGGCGACCGGCCACAUUGGGACUGAGAUACGGCCCAGACUCCUACGGGAGGCAGCAGUGGGGAAUAUUGCACAAUGGGCGGAAGCCUGAUGCAGCAACGCCGCGUGCGGGAUGACGGCCUUCGGGUUGUAAACCGCUUUCGCCUGUGACGAAGCGUGAGUGACGGUAAUGGGUAAAGAAGCACCGGCUAACUACGUGCCAGCAGCCGCGGUGAUACGUAGGGUGCGAGCGUUGUCCGGAUUUAUUGGGCGUAAAGGGCUCGUAGGUGGUUGAUCGCGUCGGAAGUGUAAUCUUGGGGCUUAACCCUGAGCGUGCUUUCGAUACGGGUUGACUUGAGGAAGGUAGGGGAGAAUGGAAUUCCUGGUGGAGCGGUGGAAUGCGCAGAUAUCAGGAGGAACACCAGUGGCGAAGGCGGUUCUCUGGGCCUUUCCUGACGCUGAGGAGCGAAAGCGUGGGGAGCGAACAGGCUUAGAUACCCUGGUAGUCCACGCUGUAAACGGUGGGUACUAGGUGUGGGGUCCAUUCCACGGGUUCCGUGCCGUAGCUAACGCUUUAAGUACCCCGCCUGGGGAGUACGGCCGCAAGGCUAAAACUCAAAGGAAUUGACGGGGCCCCGCACAAGCGGCGGAGCAUGCGGAUUAAUUCGAUGCAACGCGUAGAACCUUACCUGGGUUUGACAUGGAUCGGGAGUGCUCAGAGAUGGGUGUGCCUCUUUUGGGGUCGGUUCACAGGUGGUGCAUGGCUGUCGUCAGCUCGUGUCGUGAGAUGUUGGGUUAAGUCCCGCAACGAGCGCAACCCUUGUUCACUGUUGCCAGCACGUUAUGGUGGGGACUCAGUGGAGACCGCCGGGGUCAACUCGGAGGAAGGUGGGGAUGACGUCAAGUCAUCAUGCCCCUUAUGUCCAGGGCUUCACGCAUGCUACAAUGGCUGGUACAGAGAGUGGCGAGCCUGUGAGGGUGAGCGAAUCUCGGAAAGCCGGUCUCAGUUCGGAUUGGGGUCUGCAACUCGACCUCAUGAAGUCGGAGUCGCUAGUAAUCGCAGAUCAGCAACGCUGCGGUGAAUACGUUCCCGGGGCUUGUACACACCGCCCGUCAAGUCAUGAAAGUUGGUAACACCCGAAGCCGGUGGCCUAACCGUUGUGGGGGAGCCGUCGAAGGUGGGACUGGUGAU
rnacentral:rRNA from 1 species